UACGAGGGGGGCAAGUGUUGUUCGGAAUCACUGGGCGUAAAGGGAGCGUAGGCGGGCUUUUAAGUGAGGUGUUUAGUCCCGGGGCCCAACCCCGGUCCGGCACCUCAAACUGGGAGUCUUGAAUAGUGGAGAGGUCAGUGGAAUUGGGGGUGUAGCGGUGGAAUGCGUAGAGAUCCCCAAGAACACCAGUUGCGAAGGCGGCUGACUGGACACAUAUUGACGCUGAGGCUCGAAAGCAUGGGGAGCAAACAGG
rnacentral:rRNA from 1 species